rnacentral:rRNA from 1 species
UACGAAGGGGGCUAGCGUUGCUCGGAAUGACUGGGCGUAAAGGGCGCGUAGGCGGAACAUACAGUCAGAUGUGAAAUUCCCGGGCUCAACCUGGGGGCUGCAUUUGAUACGUGUGAUCUAGAGUGAGGAAGAGGGUCGUGGAAUUCCCAGUGUAGAGGUGAAAUUCGUAGAUAUUGGGAAGAACACCGGUGGCGAAGGCGGCGACCUGGUCCUUUACUGACGCUGAGGCGCGAAAGCGUGGGGAGCAAACAGGAUUAGAUACCCUGGUAGUCCACGCUGUAAACGAUGUGUGCUGGAUGUUGGGCAACCUAGUUGCUCAGUGUCGUAGCUAACGCGAUAAGCACACCGCCUGGGGAGUACGGCCGCAAGGUUGAA